CCUACGGGUGGCUGCAGUAAGGAAUAUUGGACAAUGCCCGCAAGGGUGAUCCAGCCAUGCCGCGUGCAGGAAGACGGCCCUAUGGGUUGUAAACUGCUUUUAUACCGGAGAAAACCUCUCCUCGUGAGGAGAGCUGAUAGUAUGGUAAGAAUAAGCAUCGGCUAACUUCGUGCCAGCAGCCGCGGUAAGACGAAGGAUGCAAGCGUUAUCCGGAUUCAUUGGGUUUAAAGGGAGCGUAGGCGGCCUUGUAAGUCAGUGGUGAAAUCUUUGGGCUU
rnacentral:rRNA from 1 species